rnacentral:rRNA from 1 species
UUGAACGCUGGCGGCAGGCCUAACACAUGCAAGUCGAACGGUAACAGGAAGAAGCUUGCUUCUUUGCUGACGAGUGGCGGACGGGUGAGUAAUGUCUGGGAAACUGCCUGAUGGAGGGGGAUAACUACUGGAAACGGUAGCUAAUACCGCAUAACGUCGCAAGCCCAAAGAGGGGGACCUUCGGGCCUCUUGCCAUCGGAUGUGCCCAGAUGGGAUUAGCUAGUAGGUGGGGUAACGGCUCACCUAGGCGACGAUCCCUAGCUGGUCUGAGAGGAUGACCAGCCACACUGGAACUGGGACACGGUCCAGACUCCUACGGGAGGCAGCAGUGGGGAAUAUUGCACAAUGGGCGCAAGCCUGAUGCAGCCAUGCCGCGUGUAUGAAGAAGGCCUUGGGGUUGUAAAGUACUUUCAGCGGGGAGGAAGGGAGUAAAGUUAAUACCUUUGCUCAUUGACGUUACCCGCAGAAGAAGCACCGGCUAACUCCGU